rnacentral:rRNA from 1 species
UACAGAGGUCUCAAGCGUUGUUCGGAUUCAUUGGGCGUAAAGGGUGCGUAGGUGGCGGGGUAAGUCAGGUGUGAAAUUUCGGAGCUUAACUCCGAAACUGCAUUUGAUACUGCCUUGCUUGAGGACUGGAGAGGAGACUGGAAUUCAUGGUGUAGCAGUGAAAUGCGUAGAGAUCAUGAGGAAGACCAGUGGCGAAGGCGGGUCUCUGGACAGUUCCUGACACUGAGACACGAAGGCCAGGGGAGCAAACGGG